rnacentral:lncRNA from 1 species
GGCAGUAGUAGGCGCAUGCGUGGUUGCGAUCAUGGCUGGCGGUAACUUCGCGUUUCUGUUACCCAUUUUUAAAACGCAUCUUCAGGUGUUCCUUCCUUCUCAUGGAAGGAACAUUAAUUAAAUUCAGAGGGACUGGGUUUUAGUCCUAACUCUUAUUCCUACUGGCUGUGUAACCGUGGACAAAUUAUUUAACUUCUCAGAAUCAGGUUGUUCAAACCUGAGGUUGAACUGCAAAAAGGUUACGAAGUGACACUCAGUAGGGCCCGAAUCCAUGUUUUCUUUGAUCCCAAUCUUUUUUAAAAAAAUUUCUUUUAAUUACUUGCCAACAUUUUAGAAUUUGGAAAUCUCACAUGAAAUUCUGGACUUUUGAAGCUGAGGAAUUCCAUUGCAACAAUCAAGGAGACUAAAUAGGAAAUGACACUUCUGUUUGGCCAUCUUGCCCUCAUUGGUUUAGAAUGGCAGUGGUUCUCAACCCUGGCUGCACAUUAGAAUCACUUUAGGAGAGGUAAAACCAUACUCACGCUGGAGACCUACUCCUAGAAAUUCUAAAGAGUUUGGGGCUGGGAACUGGCCAUUGAUCUGCCUUUGAAGUUUCCCAAGUGAUUCCCAACCUCUGAUGUAAUAAAUUUCUGGCUGCUGUCGUAUUUGAGAUUUGACCCCCCCAGGUCUAAGACUUAAUUGAUUUUUAAGGCUGUAAGACAUUUCUAAGACUUUGACUUUUAAGACUUUCCUGCCUCAUUCUGAAGAGAAAAGGCCACAUGAGGACACCAUGAGAAGGCAGCUGUCUACAAGCCAGGAAGAGAGUCCUCACCAGAAACCAGCUCUGCUGGCACCUUGAACUUGGACUUCACGCCUCCAGAACAGUGAGAAAAUAAAUUUCUGCUGUUUCAGCCGCCCAGCCUGUGGUAUUCUGUUAUGGCAGCCCAAGCUGACUAAUACACUACCUAAUAGUGAAUGAGAAGAAUUAAAUCAGAAAAUAUAAAUGCAUUAAUAAACAUACCAUGUAUUGGGCACCUCCCUGUGCCAGGCACUUCACCAUCAUCUCUAGUCCUCCAAAACACAUGCUGUUUGCACCACAUCAUGCUGCCAGGCACAUAGUUGGCUUGUUGAUUUGUGUGUGUGUGUGUGACAAGAUCUCAUUCUGUCGCCCAGGCUGAAGUGCAUUGGCAUGAUCAUACUCAUUGAAACCUCCAACUCCUGGGCUCAACAGAUCCUCCUUCCUCAGCCUCUUGAGCAGCUAUGACAAUGGGCAUGCACCACCACAUCUGGCUAAUUUUUUUUAAAUGUUUUUGUAGAGACAGGGUCUCACUGUGUUACCCAGGCUAGUCUCAAACUCCUGACCUUAAGCAAUCCCCCGACCUCAGCCUCCCAAAGUGCUGGGAUUAUAGGAGUGAGCCACCACACCCGGCCGGCUUGUUGAAUUUGGGAUAUGAAUAUCAUAGUCUUAUUAACACCAUGUUUAUAAGCCAUAAUUGUCUUUAUGAAUGUAUUCAUUUUGGAAAAGUAAGUACUAAGGAUGUUCAGCUUUCUGUGCUAUGGAUUAUUAUGUGUGGAGAAACAAGAAAAUGAGUCACAGUCCUCACUUAAAUAUUUUACCAUCUAGUUAGAGAUGAAGACAAGUAUAUUAAUGUUACUGGCCCAUAUGACUAUCUUUGGAAAAACAAUCAUAUAAAGUCAAGAUUCAGCACAGGGACCCAGGGUCCAAAAGAUUUGCAUUUGACUCCCAGCUCUAUAACUUAGCCGUGUGAUCACAGUCAAAUUGCUUAACCUCUCCCUUUUCUCAUCUGCAAAACAGGGAAAUAAUAGCACCCACCUCCAUCAUUUAUUAUACACAAAGAGAUAAUAUGCCUGAAAUAUAUCUAGCUAAAUAAAGACCUAAUCAAAUGUAAGCUGUGACUAUUACCGUUUGUUGUUUGCUUCCUGCUUUUUACUAUUGCAAUUUCUAAGAUCAGCCUUUUUCAAAAGAUUUUUCUUUCAUCUUAAGGCUACCUGGGAACUGACUGUACCUACUACAUACACCGUAACAUGUAUGUACUAUAUACAGCCAUAAUGGGGCAAGGAAAGAAAAUGGAAUGUGUAAUAUAAGAAUAAUGGCAUAUAGUCCUCAAAGACUGUGUUUUAUAUUUUGUCUCCAUUAGAUAUUAACACAGUGCUAUGUAAUGGAGGAAACCCAAGAAAUAUUUUUUGCCUUGAAGAAAAGAACACAAACUCAGAAGUCACAUGGAUCUAAGAUAAGACUUGCAAAGAUUUAAAUUCAAUUCUGCCAUUUACUUCAUAUGAGGACCUUGAGAACCAGUUGAUAGCAUAUCAGAAAAGCUAAUUAAUUUGCCAUGGUUACCAGGAAAACAGGGCCUAGUCUCCAAAGUACAGCCAAAUAGAGGAGCCAAAUAAAAAAGAGGGAAAUUUUUGUCAUGC